GGGUGGUUCUGCAGAGGCCCCAGGGACCUGUAGGCAGGUGGAGAGGGGAUGGGGGAGGUCUCAGGUCCUCUUGCUCACCCAUCAGCUGUGUAGUGUCUGAAGUGAUUAAGGAGCUUGGGGAGGCCUCCCAGGCUGGUCUGCUCCACUGGCCCUCAGAAAGACUUGUCGCCUCGCCGAGCCUCAGUGUUCUCAUCUGAAGAAUAGAGUGGGCAAGGCCUUUCUCCUACACACUCAGAAUGCUGGAAGCCAAGCUUGCACAUUCUAGGCAGCCAUUUGGAAGAUUCUUCUCUGCGCAUGACCAGCUGAAAAGGAAAAACCCCGAAACAUUGGCACUGUGAUUUCUCCAUGUGAACAGUUUAGUUCGCCGAGGUGGACAUGCCUCAUUCAUGCUUAUGGAGUGACCGACCAGCCUUUAGUGACACCCCCUGAAAUGUGAGUCAUCCAUGGGUCACUAGUCAUUGGAGAAGAGCCCCUUAUACAAAACUUGGAGCUCAGACCACAAACAACAACAACAAUCCAAAAAAUAAAAAAAUGAAAAAUUA
rnacentral:lncRNA from 1 species